CCUACGGGAGGCAGCAGUGGGGAAUAUUGCACAAUGGGCGCAAGCCUGAUGCAGCGACGCCGCGUGAGGGAUGACGGCCUUCGGGUUGUAAACCUCUUUCAGUAGGGAAGAAGCGAAAGUGACGGUACCUGCAGAAGAAGCGCCGGCUAACUACGUGCCAGCAGCCGCGGUAAUACGUAGGGCGCAAGCGUUAUCCGGAAUUAUUGGGCGUAAAGAGCUCGUAGGCGGUUUGUCGCGUCUGCCGUGAAAGUCCGGGGCUCAACUCCGGAUCUGCGGUGGGUACGGGCAGACUAGAGUGAUGUAGGGGAGACUGGAAUUCCUGGUGUAGCGGUGAAAUGCGCAGAUAUCAGGAGGAACACCGAUGGCGAAGGCAGGUCUCUGGGCAUUAACUGACGCUGAGGAGCGAAAGCAUGGGGAGCGAACAGGAUUAGAUACCCCGGUAGUCCAUGCCGUAAACGUUGGGCACUAGGUNUGGGGGACAUUCCACGUUUUCCGCGCCGUAGCUAACGCAUUAAGUGCCCCGCCUGGGGAGUACGGCCGCGAGACGAACGUACGAAGAAGUAGACGGCGNGAGACGUGCCGACGGACGACGACGAGGGAGGAGG
rnacentral:rRNA from 1 species